rnacentral:rRNA from 1 species
UACAGAGGUCUCAAGCGUUGUUCGGAUUCAUUGGGCGUAAAGGGUGUGUAGGUGGCGCCGUAAGUCGGGUGUGAAAUCUCGGGGCUUAACUCCGAAACUGCAUUCGAUACUGCGGUGCUUGAGGACUGGAGAGGAGACUGGAAUUCAUGGUGUAGCAGUGAAAUGCGUAGAGAUCAUGAGGAAGACCAGUGGCGAAGGCGGGUCUCUGGACAGUUCCUGACACUGAGACACGAUGGCCAGGGGAGCAAAACGGGG